rnacentral:rRNA from 1 species
GGAAUUUUGGACAAUGGGCGAAAGCCUGAUCCAGCCAUGCCGCGUGAGUGAAGAAGGCCUUCGGGUUGUAAAGCUCUUUCAGCCGGAAAGAAAACGCAUGGGUUAAUAACCUGUGUGGAUGACGGUACCGGAAGAAGAAGCACCGGCUAACUACGUGCCAGCAGCCGCGGUAAUACGUAGGGUGCGAGCGUUAAUCGGAAUUACUGGGCGUAAAGCGUGCGCAGGCGGUUUUGUAAGACAGAUGUGAAAUCCCCGGGCUUAACCUGGGAACUGCAUUUGUGACUGCAAGGCUAGAGUACGGCAGAGGGGGGUAGAAUUCCACGUGUAGCAGUGAAAUGCGUAGAUAUGUGGAGGAAUACCGAUGGCGAAGGCAGCCCCCUGGGUCGAUACUGACGCUCAUGCACGAAAGCGUGGGGAGCAAACAGGAUUAGAUACCCUGGUAGUCCACGCCCUAAACGAUGUCAACUAGGUGUUGGGGGAGGAGACUUCCUUAGUACCGUAGCUAACGCGUGAAGUUGACCGCCUGGGGAGUACGGUCGCAAGAUUAAAACUCAAAUGAAUUGACGG